GAUAUUCUGAGGCUUGACCUCGUUCUUGAUAGUACCUUCAUUCUUAAAGUUGUAACUAAGUUGGCGAUGAGGAAUAGUAUACUUAGGCUUUUCGGUAGGCAUCGCCUCAUGGAUUUCCUCAGGUAAAGGCUUCUCCUUCGCAAUAGCAGGUUCCUCCGCUGUCACUGAAAGUUCCACAUCCCUCCCGACUACCUUCGUUCGUACUUUCGAUGAUCGCCUUAGUAUGAGGUGUACCACAGCAUCAUCUUGCAGGCACAAUUCGUCGAUGCAUUUCUGAUCUUCUAGAUUUUGCCCCCUGAGAACCAACUGUUGGGCGUCCAAAUCCAAGCCCUCUUUCUCGGAUAUCCGCUUCUUCAGAUCUCGAACACAACGGCUCCUCUCAACCUUGAAAACAUACUCUUU
rnacentral:lncRNA from 1 species